GACGAACGCUGGCGGCGUGCCUAAUACAUGCAAGUUGAGCGAUGAAGAUUGGUGCUUGCCCCAAUUUGAAGAGCAGCGAACGGGUGAGUAACGCGUGGGGAAUCUGCCUUUGAGCGGGGGACAACAUUUGGAAACGAAUGCUAAUACCGCAUAACAACUUUAAACAUAAGUUUUAAGUUUGAAAGAUGCAAUUGCAUCACUCAAAGAUGAUCCCGCGUUGUAUUAGCUAGUUGGUGAGGUAAAGGCUCACCAAGGCGAUGAUACAUAGCCGACCUGAGAGGGUGAUCGGCCACAUUGGGACUGAGACACGGCCCAAACCCCUACGGGAGGCAGCAGUAGGGAAUCUUCGGCAAUGGACGAAAGUCUGACCGAGCAACGCCGCGUGAGUGAAGAAGGGUUUCGGAUCGUAAAACUCUGUUGGUAGAGAAGAACGUUGGUGAGAGUGGAAAGCUCAUCAAGUGACGGUAACUACCCAGAAAGGGACGGCUAACUACGUG
rnacentral:rRNA from 1 species